UACGUAGGGUGCGAGCGUUGUCCGGAAUUAUUGGGCGUAAAGAGCUCGUAGGCGGUGUGUCACGUCGUUCGUGAAAACCUGCAGCUUAACUGUGAGCGUGCGGUCGAUACGGGCAUCACUGGAGUUCGGCAGGGGAGACUGGAAUUCCUGGUGUAGCGGUGAAAUGCGCAGAUAUCAGGAGGAACACCGGUGGCGAAGGCGGUCUCUGGGCCUUACCUGACGCUGAGGAGCGAAAGCGUGGGGAGCGAACAGG
rnacentral:rRNA from 1 species